UUUUUUUUUCUUUUUCUUAAGGUGUUUUUCUUAGUAGCCAGAACAUUAGUUUGGCUUGUUUGAAAUGCAUGAAUUUUGCAUUAAUUUAUGGGAAUCUGACAGGAAUUAGCUGGGAAGUACUCCCUCUGUUCCGAAAUGUAGGUCGUUGGGGGUUUUUUAGUUCAACUUUCGUCUAGUAACGAAAUAUCGGCACUUUCCAAUUUUGCCCCCCGCGUCGCUCCACUCGCUCGCUCACCGCCCAGCCGCACUGCCCGCGCUCACUCUCUCCCACUCGCCCAGCCGCACUAGCCGGCCUCCCCGUCGCUCGCCGGCCUCCCCCCUCUCCCCGUAGCUCGCCGGCCUCCUCGUUGCUCGCCGGCCUCCCCGUCUCCCCGUAGCUCACCGGCCUCUCCCUCUUCCACCGCCAUUUCUCCACCACCCCGCCUCCACUCACACCCGGAGGUAAACAAAUUCCAAUCUUUUGCGCCGGCGACGAGCUUCUACUCCACGGAGGCGUGGAUGUGCAUGUGCUAGCGCUGGAUCUGGGCGACAGAGGCAUGGAUGUGGAGCGGCACCCGAGCGGCGGAUCUGGAGCGGUGCCGGAGCGGCGGAUCUGGAGCGACGUCGUCGUCAUCGCGGAGUAGCUGCUUCCUCCCGCGAACGAGAGGGAGGGGCAGAUGAUGACCGCCAUCAUGGAUUUGAAUCUUCUGUUCUUACAUUGCUGUAGUACUGGCUGCAGUCUUGCUGUACAAUCACUUGAGGAAUUCAAGGCCUGAUGCGUCCUUUUGGGAGCCAUGGCUACUUCUUCCUGUGCCCUGCGUCAGGAGAAGGAGCACGCCCAGGAGAAGAAGGAUCGGGAGAAGGCCCUGAGGACCUGGGAUCGCUGCUGCUAGAUCUGGAUCUGGGACCUGGGACUGCUGCUGCUGCGUGCUCCUUCUGGGAGACGAGGACCCUCCUUGGCGCCCCUGGAUCGCUACUGCUGGACGCCCCUGGAUCGCUGCUGCUGGAGAUGAGGACCUGGGCCUGGGAGCGCUGAGGAGAAGUAGGGGACCUGGGCCUGGGAGCGCCUGGGACCUGGGCGCGUGGAGGAGAAGCAGGGGCGGGCGGGCGGACGAUGGCCUGGCGGAGAAUUUCAAAUCCUCGGAGGGAGGAAGAAGACGAUGGGGAUACCGAUUCAUACUAGGGGCAGCGAUGUAAAUUCCACCGUGUUCACCUGGUCGGAACCAAUCCUCCAGCGACCUAUAUUUCGGAACGGAGGGAGUACUUUUCUCGACGCUUGAUGUAUUUCCCUUUUAAGCACGGGCUAGCUCUGUCAAUUCGUCAAUAAGAUAUUGUAGGAGUAAGAGCAGGAGUAAGGGGCAUAUCGUAGUCGAGAAAAAGAAAGGGCAUAUAGUGAUGCUUGGAAUUGGAAAGAACGGGGGUCAAACCAAAGGUAAAAUAUUAGAGAUAUGCAUCUUUUAUUCA